rnacentral:rRNA from 1 species
CUCAAAGAUUAAGCCAUGCAUGUCUAAGUACAAGCGAAAAUAAAGUGAAACCGCAAAAGGCUCAUUAUAUCAGUUAUGGUUCCUUAGAUCGUAUCCACAAUUACUUGGAUAACUGUGGUAAUUCUAGAGCUAAUACAUGCAAUUAAAGAGAAACCAGUAAAAUGGGAUCUCUGCUUUUAUUAGAUUUAAACCAAUGGGGAUUGCUUCGGCUUUCUCAAACCGAAUGGUUGAACUCUGGAUAAUUUGUUGAUCGCAUGGUCUUGUACCGGCGACGGAUCUUUCAAAUGUCUGCCCUAUCAACUAUUGAAGGUAGUGUCUUGGACUACCUUGGUUGCAACGGGUAACGGGGAAUCAGGGUUCGAUUCCGGAGAGGGAGCCUGAGAAACGGCUACCACAUCUAAGGAAGGCAGCAGGCGCGUAAAUUACCCACUCCCGGCACGGGGAGGUAGUGACGAAAAAUAACAAUACAAGACUCACAUCCGAGGCCUUGUAAUUGGAAUGAGUACACUUUAAAUCCUUUAACAAGGAUCAAUUGGAGGGCAAGUCUGGUGCCAGCAGCCGCGGUAAUUCCAGCUCCAAUAGCGUAUAUUAAAGUUGUUGCGGUUAAAACGUUCGUAGUUGAACUUGUGUUUCGCACGGGCAACACCUAGGACUAGGUAACUAGGACGGUUAGUUGUCUUAUCUUUCCUCUAUCCUUAUGGGAUUUUGGAAAAAGUGCGUGAACGUAUUAUCGGCGUGUUCAUUUUCCCAUGCUAUUAUGUAUGGCGGAGGUGUUCACAUAAGCCCAUUUCAGUGCUCUUCACCGAGUGUUGUUGUGGGCCGAUACAAAUUACUUUGAACAAAUUAGAGUGCUUAAAGCAGGCUUGUAAUGCCUGAAUAUUUGUGCAUGGAAUAAUGGAAUAGGACAUCUGUUCUACUUUCAUUGGUUUUUUAGACCAAGAUGUAAUGAUUAAUGGAAGCAGUUGGGGGCAUUAGUAUUACAACGCGAGAGGUGAAAUUCUUAGACCGUUGUAAGACUGACUAAAGCGAAAGCAUUUGCCAAAGAUGUUUUCAUUUAAUCAAGAACGAAAGUUAGAGGUUCGAAGGCGAUC